UCUGUCACUCAGGAUUUUAUAGACUGAAGAAUUGAAAUACUGGAAGUUAUUUCUAAUCUCACUGUGGGGAAAGUUGUGCUACGGGUUCCACCCAGCUGAGGAAUUCCUGAAGAAGCCAGGUACGCUUAGAUACAGGACUCACAAUGUGCCUGUCCUUGAAGAUGGCAGCUUAUGCCACAAGUGGUCCUGGGCACUGCCUGUAGUUCAAAUCUUUCACUGUGUACCUGGAAGAUAGUGCUCAGCACCUCUCUUCAAUGGACUUUCCUUGUAGACACUUCAGGACUCAGACAGUUCUACUCCAGUUACUUGAAUCCAGCCUGUCCCCUACAGGAACAGACCUGCUUCAAUGGGAUGGAUGCACUGAAUGCAGCGAUGGAAAAUAUAAGACGACACUGGGACUUCGUGAGUGUGAUGUCUGCCUCACGGUGACUGCCUGUUCUCCACGGCCAGCAAGUGGCAAUCGCAUUUUAAAGGAAGGAUGUCAGAAUGUCAGAGAGCAGCUUGGUUUUCUCACUUGUCAUCAUUAUUUGUUUCUGUCCUGGCCGAACCACCAGCAGCAGGUUAGGGAUGACACAAACGAGCAACAAAUCACGGGGUGGAGGACAGAGCAUGUGACAAUGCCCUGGCUGUGGUGCAAACAUUUGAGCUACGUUUCGAAAGCCUGGGCUUGUGUUCCGCAGGGUUCACGAGUGAAAAAUACAAGUCUUUGAGGAUAACAAACAACAAGCUCUGUCUCAUUAGUGUCUACCCUUCAGAGAAGAGGCUGGAGCGGAUCCCAUCAAGCUGCGAUUUGGUUCAGUGCACCAGGGAAGGUUCCUAGAAGCAUUCCCCCAGCUUCUUCACACUGUGCACUGAGGGGAAAAAAACAACAUUUGGCAAUUUGUUGUCAAUAUUUGUAUAACUCCUGAUGCCACUAAAACUGCAUAUGCAGGCUUUAAACUAACAAAAACAAAGCCAUGGCCAAGCUGGAAAGCUGGAUUUGUUUCCAUGCACAAUUAGGUUUAUUUGUUUAGGUCUCAUUUUAUUUGCUUUCAGAUGACUCAGAUAGGAGUAUUGCAAUCCUUUCAAAGUGAAGUAGUGUUCUGUGUAUUUUGGGCAUUGGGCUUAGCCAAAUGUGGAAAGAAUUGGCUGCUCAAUAGUAUUUUCCUAUCCAGAGGUUUUUCAAACUUUUGAGAGGAACUGAAGGAAUGUCCCUUCCAUGCCAGGCUUUUUUUUCCCCCCCUUCACAGCGUCUCUCCACAUCAUUGUUAAAGAGCACAGGAAUUUUAAAACACUCCUCCGUUGUGCAACUGUUAGCAACUGCCCUUAUUAAUUGCUUUACCAUUGUGCUGCAUGCUUAAAUUCUCACUGGUGUCAUCCAUAACGUGCUGCUGUGAGCGCCUUUUAACCCGUUCCAAUACGAACAGACGCACGGUGCACGGCCCAGAAUCUCCCAGCCUGCUAGACCAGCUCUGGGCUUGCUGAAAAUGAUUUCCUGCAUACACGAAGGGAUAUUUACAUUUUGGCAAGUCGCCGAGUUUUCUGCUGGGAGUCAGUCACUCAGGGCAGAUUAUUUUCCAGUG
ensembl:lncRNA